CAGCGCGCUGCAGUAUCUGGCAUCUGGAAGGAGACGAGACGCUCACUUCAGGGCCGCUUCACGCCAAGGACGUCUCGUCUUUGUGGACCCGGAUGAUGUCCGUCAUGGAGAAGUCCCGCGACUGGACCGUUUUCAGCCAAUCGGCAGCGUUGGUCAUCAGCAGCACCCAGGCCACCGUUGGCCACGCCUCCAUCAUCGGCCCAACGCUCCCUCGCGCACUCUGCUUCGCCUCUUUGAACCUCUGUGGGAGAGAAGGAACCUGAUGGGUGGUGUCAGAUGAAAGGCCCGAGAGCAGCACCGCCGUACUUUUUAAAAGCAUAUAUAUAUUUAUUUUAAAGAUUUAUUUUAUCUCGUGGCAACGUGAGAAGCUAACUAUCUAUUUGUACGAGGAAUUAGUCUGUGAAGGUGAUCAGCUGUGUGUGCUGUGCACGCUGUGAGCUCGCUUCAUUAUUUAAAAUGUCAAGAGGACCCCCGCCAGCCUCAGACAGAGGACAGGAAGACGUCCAUUAUAGCUCUAACACUCCUACUAGACGUGAGUUAUGUUUUAAUUACCUCUGGGGAUUCAGCCAUUAGUCCCUGCUUGCCAGAUGCUUAUUUUCAAUCAAUGCAUGAUGGGUCAUUUAUUGAGUCUGCGUGUGUGUUGCCUCGUACCCUGACGCCUUUGAACUCAUCACAGCAGGAAAAGGCCCCUCCAGACCUCCUUUCCCUCUGAUCCAGUUCCUCGGCUCUCCAGAUUUAAGAACAUUUCUAGGAGCUGAUGCGUCGCAACCAGAAAUAUAAACACCUCCCUAACAUGCACAGGAUUUACUGGCACAUAGUGGUGAGGUUGCAGAUUGCAGUUGAACAACCCGCCACUCCUCUCUAGUUUGUUGAUAAUUAACCAAAUAAAACGGUUAUAAAUAUGAUAAUCCAUUUCUGGAUAAUCCUGCGCACUGUUCCUUUAAGAGGGGGCAUUCCCGAGAUGAUAUCUGAGUGGCCUUGGAUUAUAAAGAUUGAAUGCAGCAGGUGUUUCGAUUCAAGAAAAAUGCCUCGCUUAAUUAAAAUGUAAUAAAUAUCGUUUUAUCUAUGGA